rnacentral:lncRNA from 7 species
GGAGCGCCUCCUAACUCUCGCCACUUGUAGCUAGCUACCUUGCGCUUGCAUAGCUGCUCCCGGCCGGUGGAGUCGGAGAAGCUAGCGGCCAGCCAUGAGACACGCUCCAUCGUCGCCGGCCAUGCUCCUGUUGUUGCUCCUGGCCACUUUCACCUACAUCAGCUGCAGAGCUCCGAAGCCCGAUGCGGCGACCGCCGCCCGAUGUCGGCGGCGACAUGGGCGCAAGGGCGGUGCAGGGCGAGUCCAAGAGGCUGGUUCCCCAGGGCCCCAACCCACUGCACAACUAGCCUGAAGCCAGCUCUGGGCUGGGGACACAGGCACUGCUACAACCCCACGUACGUGCUCUGUCGCGCUGUCUGCAAUUCGUGUUUUAAUUUCUUCGGCAUUUCGGCCUUGCUGUUGUAACUAUAGUAGUUAGCGAUUAACAAAAAUAUAGAAGUCAUAAUGACACAAGACUGUUGUACUGAACUACUGACGCCAUGUAAUGUCGAGUAGCACAAAGAUUGUGAAGUCAUGCCCAAUCGGUCAAUCCAUGCUUCGAUCAAUUCGUU